GUGUCGGGAGCUGUGGUGGCUGCGCCUUCACUGCACGGCAGACACCGGCCGGGCCGUGCUGACCGCCCUGAAGGAGGCGGACCUGGACGGGGACAGUGAUGGCCGGCCCCGUGCCAUCCGUCUCAGUGUCCCCGGGGAGCUGUACCGUCAGCUGAAGAGCCAGGAAGGCGAUGGGGUCACAGUGAGGAAGUGGUUGGAUUGAUGCGCUGCACUACCGACCGUGCAGUGAUGAGCUGACUGCAGAGAGGCCGAGCCAGUCGGCCGGGGCCGCCAGCUGACUGCUGCCGUGUGUGCUGCACCAGCCGGCACUGAGAGCGGCGCCGGUCAGCCGGCACACG
rnacentral:lncRNA from 1 species